UGGGGAAUAUUGGACAAUGGGCGGAAGCCUGAUCCAGCAAUACCGCGUGUGUGAAGAAGGCCCGAGGGUUGUAAAGCACUUUCAGUGGGGAGGAAAAAGGGCUGGUUAAUACCCGGUUUAUUGACAUUACCCACAGAAGAAGCACCGGCUAACUCCGUGCCAGCAGCCGCGGUAAUACGGAGGGUGCGAGCGUUAAUCGGAAUUACUGGGCGUAAAGCGUGCGUAGGUGGCGCGUUAAGCCAGAUGUGAAAGCCCCGGGCUCAACCUGGGAAUUGCAUUUGGGACUGGCGGGCUGGAGUUUGGUAGAGGGAAGCGGAAUUCCGGGUGUAGCGGUGAAAUGCGUAGAUAUCCGGAGGAACACCAGUGGCGAAGGCGGCUUCCUGGACCGAAACUGACACUG
rnacentral:rRNA from 1 species